AACGAACGCUGGCGGCAGGCUUAACACAUGCAAGUCGAACGAGAUCUUCGGAUCUAGUGGCAGACGGGUGAGGAACACGUGGGAACAUCCCUUUCAGUUCGGAAUAACGUUGGGAAACUAACGCUAAUACCGGAUACGUCCUUCGGGAGAAAGAUUUAUCGCUGAAAGAUUGGCCCGCGUCUGAUUAGCUAGUUGGUGAGGUAAUGGCUCACCAAGGCGACGAUCAGUAGCUGGUCUGAGAGGAUGAUCAGCCACACUGGGACUGAGUCACGGCCCAGACUCCUACGGGAGGCAGCAGUGGGGAAUAUUGGACGAUGGGGGCAACCCUGAUCCAGCCAUGCCGCGUGAGUGAUGAAGGCCUUAGGGUUGUAAAACUCUUUUAUCCGGGAAGAUAAUGACUGUACCGGAAGAAUAAGCCCCGGCUAACUUCGUGCCAGCCGCCGCCGUAA
rnacentral:rRNA from 1 species